CAAAAACGCAAUCGAUUUUAAUCGGAUAUUUUUGAAAAUAGAUUCAAAAUGACGAGCAAACUCGGCGGAUUGAAAUGAUGUAACUUGAUUAGCAAUCCGACGUCUGUAACGUGACCUAACAGUUCGUUGAAAAAUUUUCAAGGUUACACGCACAGACGACCUGUUCUGAAACACCGGAAAAUAUGGCUGGAGGCGCUUUUUUCCUACCCCUCCCCUCGUGCUGUGCUACCCCUGUGCCCUUUUAACCUUGUGUUAAGUGCGUGGACCUUCAGUCACAUCGCUCUUGUCCUUGGAGAAGCGUCUCUCUCUCUCGCUCUCUACAUUCUUCGAUUACCCGUCUUUCGUGAUAAUCACAAUCAAGGUAAGACCCAUUUUCUAUCAAAAUUGAUUUUGUUGGUGUGUCGGGUUGUUUAGAGAACCCAUAUUGAAUCGGAACAUGUAAUCCAUCAGCUGGGGCUUUUUUUAAAAUGUGAGUUUUAAAUUUUAUUUUUCUCUUGUAGAGUAGUGACACAAGUGUGUGUGUGUUUGUCGUGUCAGUCCUUUUAUUUGCUUUUCUGGUUUUGUUCUUUUUCUUAUUUUUGGGUCUUGUGGUUUUUUUGUUUUGUUUUUUUACGAGACGGAAAGGAAAAAAAUAAAAAUAAAUGUUGUUGACAGACCCAGAUGCAACUUCUGUGGCCAAUUUUAGCAAAAAUGUAUUAAUUUAAUUGCCCAGAACACGCUGCCUGGAAGCUGAAGUCUAGAAAUAUGUCCGAAGAAGAGUCUCGCCCUUCUAGGUAAAAAAUCAAAUUUCGCCUUCGCUUUUAAUUAACUUUCGUUAAAAUUAAUUUUCGUGUGGGACCUGAGCCCGGAAAUCGAGACGCACACGCUCCGCGAUGCCUUCGCUGCUUUUGGAGAGAUAUCACUUUCAAUUGCCACGUGAACCAGCUGGCCUCAGCGGAUCUGACGGACGGUUUUACCUCUAUGAUCUUUAUCAUCCUGGCGUUCAAUUUUUAACUUACCAGCAUGGGGAUGGCGAUUAACGUGAGCCUCCUUGUUGCCACGAUUUUUAAGAUUUUAAAUGCGUGCUGGGUCCUUGCAGUCAACUCGGACAAGAAGGAAAAUAGGGGAAUGCUCAAAUGGCAGUGCCUGUCUUCGCCAAUCAUCGCAGGGUUGGUCAUAGUCUUCAGUGGUGGGCUGGCAAAAUUAUCCACUGAUGGGGGGUUUUUCAAAAACGCAAUUGAGGACAGAUAAUUUGUUUCUUUUGUAUGCGGCGGUGGAAUAGAACGCCUAGUAUCCAGUUUUUCUUUCUUUGAUUAUUCCUGACUGCUGGUGUACUAAUGAUUGGUAGUACUAUCAGAAAUCGGAGAAAAAUCGUCGAGAAAAGGAUUACUUGAUAAAUCGUUCUAUCACAGUGCAAAAUAAUGACAAAAAGCAAUUAUUUUGAUUAAAUAUAUAAAUAAUGUAAAUAUAUAUUUAAACUUUCAUUACUUGUUUUCAAAAUGAUUAAUUAAAAUGAGUAAAUAUUGUUAUUCUACUUCAAAAUGCAAAGGACAUCAACACUUUCAAUGUGUUCUUGAACAAUAAAAAGAUCUACACAUAACUAAAAGAAAAUGUUGGAGUGAUGUGUACUGCAGUUUAACCCAUAAUAAAAUUACCUAUUGCUUACAAUGAUGCCAUUUUAGAAAAGGAUACAAUUCCUGCCAGAUUCCUUGGGGGGGGUGAAAGUAUUGUAACUAAAGCAGACUUUGACUACUACCUGACGAAACACAAUAAAGGCUGAAGAACACUGAA
rnacentral:lncRNA from 1 species